rnacentral:rRNA from 1 species
UACGUAGGGGGCUAGCGUUGUCCGGAAUCAUUGGGCGUAAAGAGCGCGUAGGCGGCUAGAUAAGUCCGGUGUGAAAGUCACAGGCUCAACCUGGGAAUGCCGCUGGAAACUGUCUGGCUAGAGUCCGGAAGGGGCGAGUGGAAUUCCUGGUGUAGCGGUGAAAUGCGCAGAUAUCAGGAGGAACACCAAUGGCGAAGGCAGCUCGCUGGGACGGUACUGACGCUGAGGCGCGAAAGCGUGGGGAGCAAACAGG